rnacentral:rRNA from 1 species
CCUACGGGAGGCAGCAGUGAGGAAUAUUGGGCAAUGGACGAAACUCUGACCCAGCCAUGUCGCGUGAAUGAAGAAGGUCCUCGGAUUGUUAAGUUUCUUAGUCAGGGAAGAAUAAAAUGACGGUACCUGAAGAAUAAGCUUCGGCUAACUACGUGCCAGCAGCAGCGGCAAUACGUCGGGAGCAAGCGUUGUUCGGAAUGACUGGGCGUAAGGGGUGCGUAGGCGGUUAUACAAGUUAGAAGUGAAAUACCCAGGGCUUAACUCGGGUGCUGCUUCUAAAACUGUAAGACUUGAGUGCAGUAGAGGUAAGUGGAAUUCCUAGUGUAGCGGUGGAAUGCGUAGAUAUUAGGAAGAACACCAGUGGCGAAGGCAGCUAACUGGACUGCAACUGACGCUGAGGCACGAAAGUGUGGGUAGCAAACAGGAUUAGAUACCCUAGUAGUC